rnacentral:rRNA from 1 species
UACGAGGGGGGCGAGCGUUGUUCGGAAUUAUUGGGCGUAAAGGGUGCGUAGGCGGUUCCGCAAGUCCUGUGUGAAAUCUUCGGGCUCAACUCCGAAACUGCACUUGAUACUGCCUUGCUUGAGUACUGGAGAGGAGAUUGGAAUUUACGGUGUAGCAGUGAAUGCGUAGAUAUCGUAAGGAAGACCAGUGGCGAAGGCGAAUCUCUGGACAGUUACUGACACUGAGGCACGAAGGCCAGGGGAGCAAACGGG